GACGUAGGGCGCGAGCGUUGUCCGGAUUUAUUGGGCGUAAAGAGCUCGUAGGCGGCUCGUUGCGUCGGCUGUGAAAACCCGCAGCUCAACUGUGGGCUUGCAGCUGAUACGGGCGGGCUGGGAUUCGGUAGGGGAGACUGGAAUUCCUGGUGUAGCGGUGAAAUGCGCAGAUAUCAGGAGGAACACCUGUGGUGUAGACAGCUUACUGGACCAUUUCUGACGCUGAGACACGAAAGCGUGGGUAGCAAACAGG
rnacentral:rRNA from 1 species